CCUACGGGGUGCUGCAGUGGGGAAUAUUGGACAAUGGGCGAAAGCCUGAUCCAGCCAUGCCGCGUGUGUGAAGAAGGCCUUCGGGUUGUAAAGCACUUUCAGUGGGGUAGAAAGCCUUGGGGCUAAUACCCUCGAGGAAGGACAUCACCCACAGAAGAAGCACCGGCUAACUCCGUGCCAGCAGCCGCGGUAAUACGGAGGGUGCGAGCGUUAAUCGGAAUUACUGGGCGUAAAGCGCGCGUAGGCGGUCUGAUAAGCCGGUUGUGAAAGCCCCGGGCUCAACCUGGGAACGGCAUCCGGAACUGUCAGGCUAGAGUGCAGGAGAGGAAGGUAGAAUUCCCGGUGUAGCGGUGAAAUGCGUAGAGAUCGGGAGGAAUACCAGUGGCGAAGGCGGCCUUCUGGACUGACACUGACGCUGAGGUGCGAAAGCGUGGGUAGCAAACAGGAUUAGAUACCCUGGUAGUC
rnacentral:rRNA from 1 species